AGCGAACGCUGGCGGCAGGCUUAACACAUGCAAGUCGAGCGCCCCGCAAGGGGAGCGGCAGACGGGAGAGCAACACGUGGGAACAUACCUUUUGGUUCGGAACAACUGAGGGAAACUUCAGCUAAUACCGGAUAAGCCCUUACGGGGAAAGAUUUAUCGCCGAAAGAUUGGCCCGCGUCUGAUUAGCUAGUUGGUGAGGUAACGGCUCACCAAGGCGACGAUCAGUAGCUGGUCUGAGAGGAUGAUCAGCCUCACUGGGACUGAGACACGGCCCAGACUCCUACGGGAAGCAGCAGUGGGGAAUAUUGGACAAUGGGGGCAACCCUGAUCCAGCCAUGCCGCGUGAGUGAUGAAGGCCUUAGGGUUGUAAAGCUCUUUUGCCCGGGAAGAUAAUGACGGUACCGGGAGAAUAAGCCCCGGCUAACUUCGUG
rnacentral:rRNA from 1 species